GCAUAUCAAUAAGCGGAGGAAAAGAAACUAACGAGGAUUCCCCUAGUAACUGCGAGUGAAGCGGGAAAAGCUCAAAUUUAAAAUCUAAUGGUCCUUGGCCAUUCGAGUUGUAAUUUAGAGAAGCGUCUUCCGCGCCAGACCAUGUACAAGUCUCCUGGAACGGAGCGUCAUAGAGGGUGAGAAUCCCGUCUUUGACAUGGACCCUCGGUGCUUCUGUGAUGCGCUCUCAAAGAGUCGAGUUGUUUGGGAAUGCAGCUCAAAAUGGGUGGUGAACUCCAUCUAAGGCUAAAUAUUGGCGAGAGACCGAUAGCGAACAAGUACCGUGAGGGAAAGAUGAAAAGCACUUUGGAAAGAGAGUGAAACAGUACGUGAAAUUGUUGAAAGGGAAACACUUGAAGUCAGUCGCGUCGAUCAAGACUCAGCCUCGCCUCGGCUUGGCGUACUUCUUGACUUUGACGGGCCAGCAUCAAUUUUGUCCCUCGGAUAAUGGCAAGUGAAAGGUGGCACCUUUACGGGUGUGUUAUAGUCUCUUGUCGCAUACGAGGGGUGGGAUUGAGGAACUCAGCACGACGCCGCGAGGUGCGGGGCUUCGGCUCACGUUACGUGCUUAGGAUGCCGGCGUAAUGGCUUUAAAUGACCCGUCUUGAAACACGGACC
rnacentral:rRNA from 1 species